rnacentral:rRNA from 1 species
AAUGGGGGCAACCCUGAUCCAGCGACGCCGCGUGGGUGAUGAAGGCCUUCGGGUUGUAAAGCCCUUUUGUCGGGGACGAUGAUGACGGUACCCGACGAAUAAGCACCGGCUAACUCCGUGCCAGCAGCCGCGGUAAGACGGAGGGUGCUAGCGUUGUUCGGAAUUACUGGGCGUAAAGGGCGCGUAGGUGGCUUGUUAAGUCGGGUGUGAAAGCCCGGGGCUCAACCCCGGAACGGCACCCGAGACUGGCAGGCUGGAGACCGGGAGAGGAGAGUGGAAUACCCAGUGUAGAGGUGAAAUUCGUAGAUAUUGGGUGGAACACCAGUGGCGAAAGCGGCUCUCUGGCCCGGUUCUGACACUGAGGCGCGAAAGCGUGGGGAGCAAA